rnacentral:tRNA from 1 species
AUAUAGCUCAGUCGGUAGAGCACUUCCUUGGUAAGGAAGAGGUCACCGGUUCAAAUCCGGUUAUG